rfam:Beta vulgaris subsp. vulgaris Bvchr6.sca014.con0058.1, whole genome shotgun sequence.
AACGCAUGGUGAGGGUGUGAACAGAUCAUCUCCUUGAAUCGCUCCCAAGCUUCCGCAAGAGUCUCAUCAUUCUCUUGCCCAAAUGAGGAGAUCUUCCUCCUUAUGUC